UACGGGGGGGGUAAGCGUUGUUCGGAAUUACUGGGCGUAAAGGGCUCGUAGGCGGCCAACUAAGUCGGACGUGAAAUCCCUCAGCUUAACUGGGGAACUGCGUCCGAUACUGGAUGGCUUGGAUUUGGGAGAGGGAUGCGGAAUUCCAGGUGUAGCGGUGAAAUGCGUAGAUAUCGAGAGGAACACCUGCGGCGAAGGCGGGUUGCUGGGCUGACACUGACGCUGAAACGCGAAAGCUAGGGGAGCGAACGGG
rnacentral:rRNA from 1 species